GUGAGGAAUAUUGGUCAAUGGGCGGAAGCCUGAACCAGCCAUCCCGUGUGGAGGAAGACGGCCCUAUGGGUUGUAAACUGCUUUUCCGGGGGGAGAAUUUUUCCGUCGUGACGGGAAUUGACGGUACCCCGGGAAUAAGCAUCGGCUAACUCCGUGCCAGCAGCCGCGGUAAUACGGAGGAUGCGAGCGUUAUCCGGAUUUAUUGGGUUUAAAGGGUGCGUAGGCGGAAUGAUAAGUCAGUGGUGAAAACCUGCAGCUUAACUGUAGACUUGCCGUUGAUACUGUCAGUCUUGAGUGUGGUCAAGGUAGGCGGAAUGUGUAAUGUAGCGGUGAAAUGCUUAGAUAUUACACAGAACACCGAUUGCGAAGGCAGCUUACUGGGCCAUUACUGACGCUGAUGCACGAAAGCGUGGGGAUCGAACAGGAUUAGAAACCCUGGUAGUCC
rnacentral:rRNA from 1 species